rnacentral:rRNA from 1 species
GACGAACGCUGGCGGCGUGCCUAAUACAUGCAAGUAGAACGCUGAAGGAGGAGCUUGCUUCUCCGGAUGAGUUGCGAACGGGUGAGUAACGCGUAGGUAACCUGCCUGGUAGCGGGGGAUAACUAUUGGAAACGAUAGCUAAUACCGCAUAAGAGUAGAUGUCGCAUGACAUUUGCUUAAAAGGUGCAACUGCACCACUACCAGGUGGACCUGCGUUGUAUUAGCUAGUUGGUGAGGUAACGGCUCACCAAGGCAACGAUACAUAGCCGACCUGAGAGGGUGAUCGGCCACACUGGGACUGAGACACGGCCCAGACUCCUACGGGAGGCAGCAGUAGGGAAUCUUCGGCAAUGGACGGAAGUCUGACCGAGCAACGCCGCGUGAGUGAAGAAGGUUUUCGGAUCGUAAAGCUCUGUUGUAAGAGAAGAACGAGUGUGAGAGUGGAAAGUUCACACUGUGACGGUAUCUUACCAGAAAGGGACGGCUAACUACGUG